rnacentral:rRNA from 1 species
GAUGAACGCUGGCGGCGUGCUUAACACAUGCAAGUCGAACGGAAAGGCCCUGCGAUUUUGCGGUUCUCGAUGGGGGAACGGGUGAGUAAGACGUGUGUAACCUGCCCUUGUUUUUGGGAUGACUUCAGGAAACUGGGGUUACUAUCGUACAGGAUCCCCCCUUCCAGUGAGGGGGUUGGAAAUUUGCGGCUGUAGGGGAUGGACUCGCGGCUUAUCGGCUUGUUGGUGGGGGAGGUGCGUACCCAGGCUGUGACGGGUAGCCGGCCGGAGAGGGUGGACGGCCACCUUGGGCCUGCGAUACGGCCCAGACUCCUACGGGGGGCAGCAGUGGGAAGUAUUGCACAGUGAGCGGAAGCCUGAUGAAGCAACGCCCCGUGCGGGAUGACGGCCUUCGGGUUGAGAACCGCUUUCGCCUGUGACGAAGCGUGAGUGACGGUAAUGGGUAAAGAAGCACCGGCUAACUACGUG